rnacentral:tRNA from 1 species
GUAUUUUACUUUUAUUAGAAAU